UGCUCAUAAACGUGUGAAGGGCUCCUCAUUUUUAUCCCCUUUUUAAUUUGUCCAGUCAGAUGGAUUAUGAGGAAAACCUAACGUAGCUCUGUUGUAUUCACAACUAGAGGGCGAAAACGUUCUAUAUCACGUAUCACGUAAUUAAAAACAUACAAAUUCAACCAUUAUUCUUUCAGACGUUUCACCACUAUAUAUCUUGAAAAUAUCAAAAUUAUUCUAGAUACAAAAUUAGGCUUCAAAUAAAUAAUAUUUUUAAAUAAAAUAAUAUUAUAUUAAAUAGAUUCACCACUCUAUAUCCAAUAUCAAAAUUAUUCAAGAUACAAACUUGGCUUCAAAUAAUUUAUUAAAAUUAAAGGAAAAAAAGGUUGCUUGCAUCCUUUGCAUAAAGAUGAUAAGUAUAAUAUUGAUAUUAAAAGUAUACCGAAAUUUUCUGGACAUAUGAAGAGGUGAUACACAAAUAAAAAAUUUGGGCAAUCUUCAAACAACUCAUAAAAAGUUAUUAAACCUUCAACUUUAUCAAAAGAAAAGGCUGAAUGGAUCAUAAAUAAAAUAUGUAAACAGUCUGCAUUGAAUAAAGUUUUUAAUAAUGAGAUGAUUAAUUCUGACGACAUUCUUACCAAAAAAAAUGAUAUGCAAUCUUUAAAAAAUGAUGAAGUGGAUUUUAAAAUAAUAUUUCACAAAUGAUGCAUGGGUACAAGUUUCAGGAUUUAAAUGAAUAAAUUAUGGCGGAGUCAUGGAUUUGUCAGAAAUGUUACCUCUCUUUAGAUGAUGAUGCAUCCAUUUCAUGUGAUUCUUGCUUGUCCUGGUUUCAUUUCAAAAGUUAAACAUUUUAAAAAAAACCAUAUAAAAUUCAUUGGUUUUGUGAAAAUUGUUAAAUUUAUUUUUAUUCUCAUUUUAUGUUUUAGUUAUAAUAAUAUAAUUAUAUAUGUAUUUAUUAGAAUUACAGUUGUAAAUGAAAUCUUAUUGAAUAAGAUUAUUGCAAUUGAAUUUGUUUACUUGAUUUUAUCUCAUUUCUUA